rnacentral:rRNA from 1 species
AACAGGGAUUGCCUCAGUAGCGGCGAGUGAAGCGGCAAAAGCUCAAAUUUGAAAUCUGGCGUCUUUGGCGUCCGAGUUGUAAUUUGAAGAAGGUAUCUUUGGGCCCGGCUCUUGUCUAUGUUCCUUGGAACAGGACGUCACAGAGGGUGAGAAUCCCGUGCGAUGAGAUGACCCGGGUCUGUGUAAAGUUCCUUCGACGAGUCGAGUUGUUUGGGAAUGCAGCUCUAAGUGGGUGGUAAAUUCCAUCUAAAGCUAAAUAUUGGCGAGAGACCGAUAGCGAACAAGUACAGUGAUGGAAAGAUGAAAAGAACUUUGAAAAGAGAGUGAAAAAGUACGUGAAAUUGUUGAAAGGGAAGGGGCUUGAGAUCAGACUUGGUAUUUUGCAUGCUGCUCUCUCGGGGGCGGCCGCUGCGGUUUACCGGGCCAGCAUCGGUUUGGAGCGGCAGGAUAAUGGCGGAGGAAUGUGGCACGGCUUCUGCUGUGUGUUAUAGCCUCUGACGAUGCUGCCAGCCUAGACCGAGGACUGCGGUUUUUAACCUAGGAUGUUGGCAUAAUGAUCUUAAGUCGC